UACGUAGGGACCGAGCGUUGUCCGGAUUCAUUGGGCGUAAAGAGCUCGUAGGCGGUCUGUCGCGUCGGCUGUGAAAUCCCGAGGCUCAACCUCGGGUCUGCAGUCGAUACGGGCAAACUAGAGUAUUGCAGGGGAGACUGGAAUUCCUGGUGUAGCGGUGAAAUGCGCAGAUAUCAGGAGGAACACCGGUGGCGAAGGCGGGUCUCUGGGCAAUAACUGACGCUGAGGAGCGAAAGCGUGGGGAGCGAACAGG
rnacentral:rRNA from 1 species